AUGGCAACCACCAGGGCAGCUCUGCCAUUUGUUAACAGUGUCAUUUCUUUCAUAGAAAGGCACAAGAUGGGAGUCACGGAGAAUCCUGGAGGGGCAGCGCGUCCUCCUGCACCACAGUCCUGCCCGGCCCCCAGCGAGCCGCACAGCCCAGCUGCAGAGCGGAGCCUCAAGCACAGCAGGGAAGCAGGUUACAAGUGCAAACCUCCAAACCCAGAUGCUGCAUGCCGUGGUUCCAGGGGGAGUCUGGUGCCUCUCAGCAACAGCACCUUUGCGGGGCUCUCCCGAGGACGUCAGAGGGGGGCUCGCUCCCCAUCACAGCAGAAGCUCCCUGUGUUCAGACUGCUCCUUCGGCAGAAACCUCUUCACUCCCUCAAACCCAGCAUCUUUGCCACGUCUGCCCUGUCUUUUCUUCCCCAGAAUCCAGGCUGUGUUCUUGUCCCAGGGCUGUCCUGCGUCUUCAUGUCAAUGCUCUGCUCCGCUCCUCCAGCCUGGCCUUCGGUCACCAACUUGCACCCUGGGCCCUGGGGCGGGAAGAGAUUUUCUGCGUGGUCAGGGGUCUACUCGCCGCUCUUGCUCACCCCUGUCACUCAAGCCCCAGAGCCAAAUUCCAGCUGGGUUAAUACAGAGAAUGACGACCUGCUUGGUGGGGGACACCAGCCCUCUCUUCCCUCACUUUGUCCCCAGUGGCUCAGCCCUGCCACCUCGCCUCCUGCGGCCCAUCUAGGGCUCCAGGUGCCAGGGAGGCCUGGCGCUCAGGUGGUCCCUUGAUAGCAGGGCCAGGAUACCAGGCUCCCCCGCAUCGUAAGCCCAAGAGAAGCUGGCUGUGGUACAGCUGCCAUUGCUGCAGACCAGGAGGACAUGGUCAUGGGAGGCACCUCGCAGAGUCUAAUAGCACCUGAGGUCAUGCGAGAGGGGGCAGCAGGCCCAGCCGCCGCCCAUGUGGAGGGGAUGCUGAACUUCUCAUGGUGGCGGGGUGAAUGGCAUGGUGGGUGCCAGAGUCAGGCUGUGUGCUGGGUUGGGUGGGCUGUUCAGUGAGGGAGACCCGAAAAGGGGCCAC
rnacentral:lncRNA from 12 species